AUUGAACGCUGGCGGAAUGCUUUACACAUGCAAGUCGAACGGUAGAGGGGGCAACCCCUCGAGAGUGGCGAACGGGUGAGUAAAGCAUCGGAACGUACCGUGUAGUGGGGGAUAACGUAGCGAAAGUUACGCUAAUACCGCAUACGCACUGAGGUGGAAAGCAGGGGAUCGCAAGACCUUGCGCUAUACGAGCGGCCGAUGUCAGAUUAGCUAGUUGGUAGGGUAAAGGCCUACCAAGGCGACGAUCUGUAGCGGGUCUGAGAGGAUGAUCCGCCACACUGGGACUGAGACACGGCCCAGACUCCUACGGGAGGCAGCAGUGGGGAAUUUUGGACAAUGGGCGAAAGCCUGAUCCAGCCAUGCCGCGUGAGUGAAGAAGGCC
rnacentral:rRNA from 1 species